rnacentral:misc_RNA from 1 species
ACAAAACGUGGAAUCAUGCAGAUUCCACCAAUAAAAAUAAUUAACUCCGGUGAAACAUUUUUCAUAAAUAAAGCUACAGACUCUACAUAUGUAGAGAAAAAUGAUGAUAUUAUGGAAACAACACAAUCCGACGGGGAGCAAAACAUACCAAUACACCAGGAAGAAAGCUGGACGGUGGCAACCUCCAGCAAAAAACGGAAGCACUAUUACUUUGAAGCACUUUUUCACUAUUCACUUAUACCUGGAGAGGACGACCGUCUAGACACGUCCGUCCUCCUCGGCUGUCCGA